AUCAAGAAGAAAUAAUUACUUCUGUUUAAUGAACAGCGAAUCUAUUGUUGAUUUCAUUUUACAGAAGAAGGAACUGAAGCCCAGAAAGGUUAGAUCAAUUUCCUAAGGUCACAUAGCUCAUAAGGGGAGAACCUGGGUUCAGAAGCAGAUCCUCCUGACCCCACAUGCUGUGCUCUUUACUGGAUACCAUGGUGGUCUCCAGGAAGCCCCUCUCAGGGUGGCCUACGUGUUUCUUUGUUUUACAGACAUACUGACCAUAUUUCAGCUUCUACACCUUGGAAACACAGUUUUCCCUCCAAGAACGAUGUCCUCUCUGCUGUCCUGGCUUUUUCAACCAUGGAGUGUCAUUGUCACCUUCCUUCUUCCCCAGCAGCUCCUCUUAACACCCCAACAGGCCUCUGUCCUCCCUGGUACCCAGGUAGACGGGGUUUCUCUUUGUCACUGAGGCUGGAGUGUAGUAGUGUGAUCAUAAUUCACUGUAGCCUCGACCUCCUAGGCUCAAGUGAUCCUCCCAUCUCAGCCUCCUGGAUGAACAGUCAUGGAGCCAGCAAAAGGCAGCGUCAAGAUUUGAACCCAUGACGCCUGAAUUCAGACUCUGUAACAGAAAAAAAAAAGUUGGCAAAGAAAGGGUUCUGCUAUGAAAGAUACAAAACCACAAGCCAAAAACAAAACAAAACAAAAAAACAAAAACAAGACGAAAUCAAUAGCUUACCUAUGGGAACAUUCAAACUAUUGAGUAUGACAAAAACAUCAAAAAUAAAGUUAAGAGACUGGGAGAAAAUAUUUUCAAUAUGCAGUCAUCCCUUGGUAUCCUUGAGGGACUUGUUCCAGGACCUCCCAAGGAUACCAAAAUCCAUGGAUGCUAAAGUCCCUGAUAUAAAAUGGGGCAGUAUUUGCAUAUAACCUAUGUACAUCCUCCAGUAUACUUUAAAUCAUCUCUAGAUUACUUCUAAUACCUAAUACAAUGUAAAUGGUAUGUAAAUAGCUAUUAGACUGCAUUGUUUAGGGAAUAAUGACAAGGGAGAAAAAGGCUGUGCACGUUCAGUACAAAUGCAUUAUCUUCUGAAAUGUUUUUGAUCUGAAGUCAGUUGAAUUCAUGGAUGUGGAACCCAUGAAUAUGGAAGGCUGACUGUAUCUGACAGACAAAGGAAAUAGCUACUAUAAAUCAAACAAGAGAAAUCAAAUAACCUAAGAAACAAUGACGGAGGGCAUACUUAGAUAAUAAAGAGAAUACAAGUACCGUGGGCAAAAAACAUAUGAAGUGAUGUUGAGCCUCACUAAUAAUCAGGGAAAUCCAAAUCCAAAUGACAUGUCACUUUUGCUUUUUAAUUUGGCAAAGAGUAACAGGGUUGAUCGUGCUCAGUUUUAGAAGGGGUGCUCUCCCACACUUUAGUAGGAAUAUAACUUGGUAAAGGCUUUUUUGGUACUUGAUUUCACAAUGUGAAUAAAAGUAAAAAAUGCACAUUCCCUUCAAUCCAGCAAUUCCCCCACCCCCACAUACACACUAGAUUUCUAUAUCAGUCAGGGCUUAUGGUUGCAAAACCAGAAGUGGGUUCUGGCUAACUUAAGCAGAAAAUAAAUGUACUGGAAAAAUAUCUGGUAGUUGACAGGGUGGAUGAAAAGGCUUGGAACCUUGGUUCCACAAUCUUGCAGGAGCCAGUGGAAACCGGGGUGCUGAAGACCCAGCAAAGCUUAUGCCUCAGGAGCGGUCAGAUUUUUUGUGACCACUGACUCCGUCACCACUGGGACUGUGGCCACCACCACUUCCUCUCUACUCUGUCAUCACUACUGCUGCCACCAGUCAUUUGUGUCUUUGAAACUUUGUCUGCAAAUUCACAACGCAAGUUGAGUUCUCAUUGGCCAAACCCUGGCAGCACAUUCUGACUGCAGGACCAAGGGCAGACUGAGGGGACAGAGGCUUCUUUUGGCUUUUAAAGUGGAUGUGAGGGGCCUGCCACCCAGGUAGACUUCUGACUUACACCCCAAAUUGGAAGGGUAUUUGUAUAAAGAGUAGCCAAAGCCAGUACACACCUAUAAAUGGAUCCACUAUUGUGGCUACCCAAGAUUUAUAUACAUUCUUCUCAUAUUUUCACUAACCCUCUCCCUGUCAAAAAAUAUCCUGUUACCAUUAUGAAACUAUCCACGUACAAAGUGAAGGACUCGCCCUCUCUCUAAAGGGAGACAGCCCAGGGUCUUAUCAAUGACCACACCCAGACCUUGAGUCCUGUGCAUCCCAUCUCUAACUCUCGCAAUUCCAUUUCUAUAUUCUGUAAACUGUAAUGAUGUGCUGAAGCCGGCUCAUACCAGAAAUUCUGUGAACUGGCUAUUAAACACAGCAAUUGUUAACAAUCAAAUUAUAUAUGCUUACAAUGAAAUAAAUUAUAUUAAAAGCAAAAGUAGUAAAUACUAAAAGCUCAUCACUAAUUAUUUUACUACAUUUUACCAUUCUCUAUGCUCUUGAGGUUAUUAAUAUAUAUUGGAUCUAUAUGGUGGAAAUUCUGUAUUAUGAUUUCUUCUGAAUACUUCAUCUCAACUCUGUGUUUAGUGAUGUCAUGUUAAUGGCAGGAAAUUGGCCACAGUGGGAGUAUUUUUGGAAAAAUGGGCAAAAACACUACAAAUCAAGGCUUGUUUGUUUCUUUUUCAGGAUGAUUGUCAGACUUAAGAAAAUGAUGGAGAAAAUGUUAGUAAUGGCGAUUAAACUUAAAAAUGCAUUAUGUCGGCCGGGAGCAGUGGCUUAUGCCUGUAAUCCCAGCACUUUGGGAGGCUGAGGCGGGCAGAUCACCUGAGGUCAGGAGUUUGAGACCAGCCUGGCCAACAUAGUGAAAUCCCAUCUCUACUAAAAGUACAAAAAAUUAGCUGGAUAUGGUGGCAGGUGGCUGUAAUCCCAGCUACUUGGGAGGCUGAGGCAGGAGAAUCACUUGAACCCGGCAGGCAGAGAUCACGCCACUGCACUCCAGCCCUGGCAACAGUGCAAGACUCCAUCUCAAAAAAAAAAAAAA